rnacentral:lncRNA from 1 species
AAAAACACUGCAGGAGAGACUGCAGCAAAGUCAAAAACAAGGUGGGGACCAGCGACCCCUCCAGAGGGAGGAAGGACAGUCAGGAGGAGCAGGACACUUCAUUCCAUCUGUGAUUCUACCACGGCAGAGCUCGGUCACCGGAAGGAUAAUUAAAUCCGGGUCUCAUUUUCUUCUCUCGUGCAAUAAGAAGAGACAUAGCGC